GCCACCUAAACCAUCAUUUCUAUGUUGAGUUGCCGGCUGUCAUGAGAUUUCCGUUGCAUGUAUCCUUCUAAACCAAUCAGGACCAUGGUCAUUUGCAUGAGGUCCUCUCCUUGAUGUAAAUUGCAAAAUCCUUUAGUUUUUUCAGUUUCUGUUCUUCCAUUUAAAGUUGUUGCCUCAUCUAUCUCCUUUGAGGAGGACACAAGGCCUGCAAGUAAUAUUUUCCAAAUUUUUUAUUAUUUAUGAUUGCUAAUAACCUUAUUUCUCUACAGUAUAUUCUAACUAGCUAGGCACAGGCAUAAGGAUGAGUCAUUUGUUAAAAUUAUUGCUUUCAUUAAUGCAUAAUUGGGAUCUGCAAAAUAUUGGUAUUUGUUCAUAAAUCACUUUGUAUCACUCAAAUUAUUUGGUUGCCCUUAGUUCAUGAACCAUCCUCAUUGGUCACUGCACUGUUAGGCCCUUACGUUCAUGCAUCUGCAUAAAGCUUUCAUGGUAACAUUCUGGAUAUAAUCUGGUUGCAUAAGCUCUACUUAUAUCUGCCUUUCUUCUAUAAUCUUGUUGAUUUUGCAGAUUAAUGCCAGUUUUCAAGUUUUCAUAUGUUGUCAAGAAAGAAAGAAUUUUCUUACAUUCACAAGGCCAUACCUAAAUGGCUUGGUUCAGUGUGUUGGUUUCAUAUAUUGUAUUAAC
rnacentral:lncRNA from 1 species